rnacentral:rRNA from 1 species
AAUCAACGCUGGCGGCGUGCCUAACACAUGCAAGUCGAACGAGAAAGGGGACUUCGGUCCCUGAGUACAGUGGCGCACGGGUGAGUAACACGUGACUUAUCUACCCUCGAGUGGGGAAUAACUUCGGGAAACCGAGGCUAAUACCGCAUAAUACCCACGGGUCAAAGGAGCAAUUCGCUUGAGGAGGAGGUCGCGGCCGAUUAGUUAGUUGGCGGGGUAAUGGCCCCACCAAGGCGACGAUCAGUAGCCGACCUGAGAGGGUGAUCGGCCACAUUGGGACUGAGACACGGCCCAAACUCCUACGGGAGGCAGCAGUGGGGAAUAUUGGACAAUGGGCGCAAGCCUGAUCCAGCAAUGCCGCGUGGGUGAAGAAGGUCUUCGGAUUGUAAAGCCCUUUUGGCGGGGACGAUGAUGACGGUACCCGCAGAAUAAGCUCCGGCUAACUUCGUG